rnacentral:rRNA from 1 species
AGCGGUGGAUGAUGUGGAUUAAUUCGAUGCAACGCGAAGAACCUUACCAAGGCUUGACAUAUACGAGAACGCUGCAGAAAUGUAGAACUCUUUGGACACUCGUAAACAGGUGGUGCAUGGUUGUCGUCAGCUCGUGUCGUGAGAUGUUGGGUUAAGUCCCGUAACGAGCGCAACCCUUAUCCUUAUUUGCCAGCACGUAAUGGUGGGAACUCUAAGGAGACUGCCGGUGACAAACCGGAGGAAGGAGAGGACGACGUCAAGUCAUCAUGGCCCUUACGGCCUGGGCUACACACGUGCUACAAUGGAACGCACAGAGGGCAGCAAACCCGCGAGGGGGAGCGAAUCCCACAAAACGUUUCGUAGUCCGGAUCGGAGUCUGCAACUCGACUCCGUGAAGUCGGAAUCGCUAGUAAUCGCGAAUCAGCAUGUCGCGGUGAAUACGUUCCCGGGCCUUGUACACACCGCCCGUCAAGCCAUGGAAUCUGGGGGUACCUGAAGUCCGUCACCGUAAGGAGCGGCCUAGGGUAAAACUGGUAACUAGGGCUAAGUCGUAACAAGGUAGCCGUACCGGAAGGUGCGGCUGGAACACCUCCUU